rnacentral:lncRNA from 1 species
GUGGUCUGCUGUCAUCGAUGAUCGUGAAGCGCUCUACUCUCCAUGAGUCACUGAAGGUGCGCCACACCGUGAUGAGCGUUGAGCAGAGCUUGCGGAGAUAUUUUGUGCUCUCAUUUUGGCCAUGGAGGUUUUUAAAAGAAAUUUUUUUUUGCUCAAUUGCCCCCUUCCUGGCAUGCCAAACUAUUGUGGGCUUUCUCUAGUUGAGGUAGUCGGCCUGGAGCCGACUAGGUGCUGCGCCUGGAUGC